GGAGGACUUUACGUUCAGGUGUAGAAAGCAGCCAGGAUUGCCACCCAGGGCACUCGGCCUUCUGUGGCCCUGGCCAGACUUAGAAUUUGUGCCAAGGCAGGACAAACUCACUGGGAGCAGCGUGUUAUUACCUGAGGCGUGUGCAUGCCAGGGAAGCCCAAGCUGGCUCAAAGAGCCACCAGCCACCUGUGCAAGGGUGGGCCUGGACCAGUUGGACCAGCCACCAAGCUCACCUACUCAAGGAAGCAGGGAUGGCCAGGUUGCAACAGCCUGAGUGGCUGCCACCUGAUAGCUGAUGGAGCAGAGGCCUGAGGAAAAUCAGAUGGCACAUUUAGCUCUUUAAUGGAUCUUAAGUUAAUUUUUCUAUAAAGCACAUGGCACCAGUCCAUGCCUCAGAGCUCGUAUGGCACUGCGGACCACAGCAGGCCGAGUUCCCAGGAUUACCAUCCAGGGGGGCCUUCUGUAGCCCUGGCCAGACCUUGCAGAGGUGGCUGGGUGCUCUUUGAGCGAGCUCGGCCUCCCUGGCAUGCACAGGCCCCAGUGCAACAACUGUCCUACAAAUG
rnacentral:lncRNA from 1 species